rnacentral:rRNA from 1 species
ACUGCACAGGUGCUGCGUGGGUGUCGUCACCUCGUGUCGUGAGAUGUUGGGUUAAGUCCCGCAACGAGCGCAACCCUUGUCCUUAUUUGCCACCACGUAAUGGUGGGAACUCUAAGGAGACCGCCGGCGACAAACCGGAGGAAGGUGGGGAUGACGUCAAGUCCUCAUGGCCCUUACGGCCAGGGCUACACACGUACUACAAUGGUGGGGACAGAGGGCUGCCAACCCGCGAGGGGGAGCCAAUCCCAAAAACCCCAUCCCAGUCCGGAUUGGAGUCUGCAACUCGACUCCAUGAAGUCGGAAUCGCUAGUAAUCGCAGAUCAGCAUUGCUGCGG